GAUUUCAAUAGUAAAAAUCAUCAACACAAAGUUGUAUAACUCAUCAAUACCUAUAACUUUUAUUUUGGUCAUUUCUUCAUCCGACAAAGUAAUAGUAACAUUGUUCACAAAAUUUACAUAUCUCUCUUAUAGUUUAUAAACUAUAUAAGAGAUAUGUAUGUUUUGUGAACAAUGUUACAAAUCACUUUAUCGGAUGAAGAAAUGACCCAAAUAAAAGUUAUAGAUCUUGUUGAGUUAUACGACUUUGUUAUUGAUGAGUUUUUCAGUUGAAAUC
rnacentral:pre_miRNA from 1 species